CUCGAAUAAUUACGUCAUUUUAAUGACUGCGUAUCCCCGUAUCAUUGAAAAAUAAUAGUUACCCAUUCUCCUCUUAAACUACUCGAAUAAUUACGUCAUUUUAAUGACUGCGUAUCCCCGUAUCCCCGUAUCAUUGAAAAAUAAUAGUUACCCGUAUCCCCGUAUCAUUGAAAAAUAAUAGUUACCCAUUCUCCUUUUAAACUACUCGAAUAAUUACGUCAUUUUAAUGACUGCGUAUCCCCGUAUCCCCCAAAAGCAAACACUAUCAAAAUUCAAAAGUGGCCGGGUAUUCUAUAAUCGCUCCCAA